rnacentral:rRNA from 1 species
UACGAAGGGGGCUAGCGUUGCUCGGAAUCACUGGGCGUAAAGCGCACGUAGGCGGCUUACUAAGUCAGGGGUGAAAUCCUGGAGCUCAACUCCAGAACUGCCUUUGAUACUGGUGAGCUGAGUCCGGAAGAGGUGAGUGGAACUGCGAGUGUAGAGGUGAAAUUCGUAGAUAUUCGCAAGAACACCAGUGGCGAAGGCGGACUCACUGGUCCG